AUGGCGUCCAUCCAUCCACAAAGUAGCAGCAUGGCGGGGCCGGGGCGGCUCGCUGCCGUGCCGGAGGAGAGUACGAAUGGCUCAGCCUCCCCGCCGCUCGGCCUCUACGGCGACUGGAUUCGGACGGUCGCCGUGUCCGGAACACAGAGAAGAUCGACUAUCCUCGGUCAAAGCGGAUCCAGCUACUCCAGUGCUUCGACUUCUUAUCUAUCCAACAACUCCAGCUACUCCUCCGGUUUGGCGUCCGCCGCUGGACGGCUGGAGUACUUCGGCGGCCAACAAGAGCUCAAGAGGAUAGCUCGUGGAAUGGUCGGCGACGGGUACACUCAGCGCAUGGUCCAAGCAUUCCACGACGCUUCAUCCGCACCAGCAUUCAAACACGGUGGUGGCCCAGCCCCGGGCCAUGCCCUGGAGAAUUGGUUCUUGGAGCUUGAUGUCGGCUGGGUUCUCCAAAUCCACGACAAGCAUGGCUUACGGCGACUGCUCCAAGACAAGCCGGAGUGCACACCACAAGACUUGAUCGAGAGGUGGAUCCGAGCUCUUACCGUGAUGGUCGCCAGUAUCACUGAAUUGGUAGUCGUCGCCUUCCACGGGACGACAGCGGUCGCCCGGUUUGGCAAAGCAAGCAUCACUGAGAUGUUGGCAUUCGUGGACAACAUCAUCCCUGUUCUCGAAGCCGAGAAGCUGCAGGUCGUGCUUGACAUGUUUAUCUGUGUCAACGAGAUAGGUGCCACGUUAGAGAGAGAAGGAAACAAACUAUGGGAGAUCAUAUUAAACACGAUGAAGGAUGUGAGGACACUCGCGGAGGAAGAUGACUCAUGGGCUAUCGAGAUCCCGCGAGGAGGAGGCGAGGUUCACAGGAACACUCGGUUCAUCAUGGAUUGCGUGGUAUCCAUGAUGAAUGCACGGACUUCAAUGAAACACUCUGCACCGACCGACAACACUGAAAACCUUGGUGGCCUGAUCGAUGGCACAAUUGAUUAUCUUAAGGGUCUGCUCUUCACAAAAUCAGAGUCAUGCUCGGAUCAAAGUCUCCGGUAUCUAUUCCUGCUCAACAAUUCCUAUUUUGAUCUAGCACAAGAGUUGAGCGAUGUCCCCCUCCCCGAGCGCCCUUCCCCAACGCGACCACCGCAGCCCCAAGCACGCCGGUGGACCUGUCCGGCCACCGUCGUCCAACGCAAGGGGACAUCAGCCCACACUGCCUCUCUUUCAGCCCCAGCUCCACCCCUUCACCCGCUGGAUCUGACGCAAACCCCAAAAGAGCCACCUAUAGGGAGGCACUUCUACCCUCGGCCAUUAAUGGGGAACCCAGGUCUGCUACCGCCAGCCCGGUCGCCUUGA
rnacentral:rRNA from 1 species